rnacentral:rRNA from 2 species
CAAAUGAAGAGUUUGAUCCUGGCUCAGGAUGAACGCUGGCGGCAUGCCUAAUACAUGCAAGUCGAACGGAGAAGGAAGGUGCUUGCAUCUUCCGGAUCAGUGGCGAACGGGUGAGUAACACGUAGGUAACCUGCCCAUGUACCCGGGACAACGGUUGGAAACGACUGCUAAAACCGGAUAGGCAUAUGGAAGGCAUCUUCGAUAUGUUAAAGGGGCCACGGCCCUGGACAUGGAUGGACCUGCGGUGCAUUAGCCAGUUGGUGAGGUAACGGCCCACCAAGGCGACGAUGCAUAGCCGACCUGAGAGGGCGAACGGCCACAUUGGGACUGAGACACGGCCCAAACUCCUACGGGAGGCAGCAGUAGGGAAUUUUCGUCAAUGGGGGGAACCCUGAACGAGCAAUGCCGCGUGAGUGAAGACGGUCUUCGGAUUGUAAAGCUCUGUUGCGAGAGAAAAAGGACAGGAAGAGGGAAUGCUUCCGGUUUGAUGGUAUCUCGCCAGAAAGUCACGGCUAACUACGUGCCAGCAGCCGCGGUAAUACGUAGGUGGCGAGCGUUAUCCGGAAUGAUUGGGCGUAAAGGGUACGUAGGCGGCCAGAUAAGUCUGGUGUGAAAGGCUGCAGCUCAACUGCAGCACUGCACUGGAAACUGUCCGGCUGGAGUGCAGAAGAGGGCGAUGGAACUCCAUGUGUAGCGGUAAAAUGCGUAGAUAUAUGGAAGAACACCGGUGGCGAAGGCGGUCGCCUGGUCUGCAACUGACGCUGAAGUACGAAAGCGUGGGGAGCAAAUAGGAUUAGAUACCCUAGUAGUCCACGCCGUAAACGAUGAGAACUAGGUGUUGGGGGAAUAACUCAGUGCCGCAGUCAACGCAAUAAGUUCUCCGCCUGGGGAGUAUGCACGCAAGUGUGAAACUCAAAGGAAUUGACGGGGGCCCGCACAAGCGGUGGAGUAUGUGGUUUAAUUCGAAGCAACGCGAAGAACCUUACCAGGCCUUGACAUCCCCUGCAAAGAUGCAGAGAUGUAUCGGAGGCUAUCAGGGAGACAGGUGGUGCAUGGUUGUCGUCAGCUCGUGUCGUGAGAUGUUGGGUUAAGUCCCGCAACGAGCGCAACCCUUGUGAUAUGUUACCAGUAUCAAGUUAGGGACUCAUAUCAGACUGCCGGUGACAAACCGGAGGAAGGUGGGGAUGACGUCAAAUCAUCAUGCCCCUUAUGGCCUGGGCCACACACGUACUACAAUGGCGGAUACAGAGGGCAGCGACAGGGCGACCUGGAGCGAAUCCCGAAAAGUCCGUCCCAGUUCGGAUUGGAGUCUGCAACCCGACUCCAUGAAGUUGGAAUCGCUAGUAAUCGCGAAUCAGCAUGUCGCGGUGAAUACGUUCUCGGGCCUUGUACACACCGCCCGUCAAACCAUGGGAGUCAGUAAUACCCGAAGCCGGUGGCAUAACCUUAGGGAGUGAGCCGUCGAAGGUAGGACCGAUGACUGGGGUUAAGUCGUAACAAGGUAUCCCUACGGGAACGUGGGGAUGGAUCACCUCCUUUCUAAGGAGA